rnacentral:rRNA from 1 species
AACGAACGCUGGCGGCAUGCCUAACACAUGCAAGUCGAACGAAGGCUUCGGCCUUAGUGGCGCACGGGUGCGUAACGCGUGGGAAUCUGCCCUUUGCUUCGGAAUAACAGUUAGAAAUGACUGCUAAUACCGGAUGAUGUCGCAAGACCAAAGAUUUAUCGGCAAAGGAUGAGUCCGCGUAGGAUUAGCUAGUUGGUGGGGUAAAGGCCUACCAAGGCGACGAUCCUUAGCUGGUCUGAGAGGAUGAUCAGCCACACUGGGACUGAGACACGGCCCAGACUCCUACGGGAGGCAGCAGUGGGGAAUAUUGGACAAUGGGCGAAAGCCCGAUCCAGCAAUGCCGCGUGAGUGAUGAAGGCCUUAGGGUUGUAAAGCUCUUUUACCCGGGAUGAUAAUGACAGUACCGGGAGAAUAAGCUCCGGCUAACUCCGUG